AGUCAAGGGAGGAAGUUCCUGGAGAAGUAGAAGUACUGCGUGGUUAGCGUCCGGUCACUCUUCAGAGCAGCCUUGUACUUACUACGUUUCAGUGUCUCUCCUUGCAGCUUUUCGUAACUUUAACGAACUAUGCUCCUUUCGUGUCUCAGUUUCUAUAUCUGUUUCGCCAAGCGCCGCUCGGAAGGGUUAAUUCAGGAGCGAGCCCUACUGGAAAAGGCGGCUUUGUGUGGAAGUUUGCACCUGGGAGGUGAGAGCUGGACGGAACGUUAAAGAGCCCUGAAGGCUUAACUCUACGCUUCUGAGGUUAAAAAAGAGAGAGAGAGAAAGAAACGGCUCCAGAAAGAGGCGGAUGACACCCCAGGUUACAUGGCAAAAAAGUGACUAAACUGAGAACUCAGGGCACCAAUCUCCCAGUUUCCCCAUUGAGAUUUCAUCCUGUUACAUUUCCCGGCAUCACCUUGUUCUUGCUUUGAACCCUUGCGACUUUUUUUUUGUAGAUGGAAAAGAUUCUUUUAGUUGGUAUUUGGAGACAUCUAGUGAAAGAAUAUGAAAGCAAAGGUCGAGUCCGCAAGUUCUGGUAGUUCGUGGAAUUAAAAAGUGAGCAUGAUUAGAGUUUACAGCUAAAAAUCCUUGGACUUGGAUCUGAAAUUUGCGAAGGUGCUACAAUUUGAUCAGGAGAGUGGGUAAAAUUAAUACUUGCAUUAUUGUUUUAAUUAUUUGUAGCUCUUUUUACUCUAAACGCUGACAUUUUUUUUUAAGGAAUGAAAAAAUGCGCCUUUAGAUAUUUUGAAAGGAUGUUAUUUCAGUAUAUGAGUUAAUACAUUCCGUGCAGCAGAAUCUUUAUUUGAAAGCACGCUUAUGGAUAAAGGUUAGUCUUUAGUUCACUUACUGAUUCCAUCUGCUCCAUUACCUAGUCUUGCUUAAGUUCUAAGUGCUUAAAAAACUCAUAAGCAGUUUACAGCUCUGCACUUUGCAGCUGUUCGAUCUUUUCCAAAUUCAACAUAUGCAGAUUUUCAGGUUGGCUAUGUGAAGCUAAGUACCACCAAACAUAAUGUUCUACAACAUGGGAAGUAUUUCUGUAAUAGUUAAUGGACUUUAUUAAGUGGGUUGCUUUAGUUUUCCCAGAGCCACCAUUUCUUUUCCACUAUGAAGGGCGGUUUAUAUAAAAAUAGUAUCUUGGAGUUCCCAUAGUGGCUCCAGGAAUGAAUCUGACUAGCAUCCAUGAAGACUCAGGAUCCCUGGCCUUGCUCAGUGGGUUGAGGAUCCAGCAUUGGCACUCACAUCCUGAGUUGCUGUGGCACCACUGGCCUAUGCCAGAGCCACAGCAACGCGGGAUCCGAGCCGCGUCUGCAACCUACACCACAGCUCACGGCAACGCCGGAUCGUUAACCCACUGAGCAAGGGCAGGGACCGAACCCGCAACCUCAUGGUUCCUAGUCGGAUUCGUUAACCACUGCGCCAUGACGGGAACUCCNNNNNNNNNNNNNNNNNUCUAAUCUGAGCUGUAGCCGCUGGCCUACACCAGAGCCACAGCAACGCCAGAUCCAAGCCGCAUCUGCAACCUACACCACAGCUCAUGGCAACACUGGAUCCUUAACUCACUGAGCAAGGCCAGGAAUCGAACUGCAACCUCAUGGUUCCUAGUUGGAUUCGUUAACCACUGAGCCACGACGGGAACUCCUUGAAUUAUUUCUGAGUUGAAAAUACAUAUAUAUUUAAAAGUUUAAGUCUUAUUUAUUUAUUUAUUUAUUUGGCCAUGCUUGCAGCAUACAGAAGUUCACAGGCCUGGAGCCACAGCAGUGACUGCAAGAUCCUUAACCUACUAGGCUGCCAGGGAACUCUCCAAAUUUUAAAUUUUUAUGUGGAUAGUGAUAAAUAUAUGUAAAAUGUAUAAAGUGAAACUUGAUAAGAUUAUAAAGAAAAAUGUAUGUGGCCAUAUUAGGUGAUUUUAACAAGCCUUUCCCAGUGAUUAAGACAAGCAAAAAAAAAAAAAAAAUCAUCAUGGACUUGGAGAAUAGACUUGUGGCUGCCGGACGGGAGAGGGAGGGAGUGGGAGGAAUCGGGAGCUUGGGGUUAUCAGAUACAACUUACAAUAGAUUUACAAGGAGAUCCUGCUGAGUAGCAUUGAGAACUAUGUCUAGAUACUCAUAUUGCAACAGAACAAAGGGUGGAAAAAAAAAUGUAUACAUGUAAGAAUAACUUGAUCCCCAUGCUGUACAGCGGGAAAAAUGAAAUAAAAAAUUUUAAAAAAU
rnacentral:lncRNA from 1 species